CAUAGGUUAAUGAGGCGAACCGGGGGAACUGAAACAUCUAAGUACCCCGAGGAAAAGAAAUCAACCGAGAUUCCCCCAGUAGCGGCGAGCGAACGGGGAGCAGCCCAGAGCCUGAAUCAGUGUGUGUGUUAGUGGAAGCGUCUGGAAAGGCGCGCGAUACAGGGUGACAGCCCCGUACACAAAAAUGCACAUACUGUGAGCUCGAUGAGUAGGGCGGGACACGUGGUAUCCUGUCUGAAUAUGGGGGGACCAUCCUCCAAGGCUAAAUACUCCUGACUGACCGAUAGUGAACCAGUACCGUGAGGGAAAGGCGAAAAGAACCCCGGCGAGGGGAGUGAAAAAGAACCUGAAACCGUGUACGUACAAGCAGUGGGAGCACGCUUAGGCGUGUGACUGCGUACCUUUUGUAUAAUGGGUCAGCGACUUAUAUUCUGUAGCAAGGUUAACCGAAUAGGGGAGCCGAAGGGAAACCGAGUCUUAACUGGGCGUUAAGUUGCAGGGUAUAGACCCGAAACCCGGUGAUCUAGCCAUGGGCAGGUUGAAGGUUGGGUAACACUAACUGGAGGACCGAACCGACUAAUGUUGAAAAAUUAGCGGAUGACUUGUGGCUGGGGGUGAAAGGCCAAUCAAACCGGGAGAUAGCUGGUUCUCCCCGAAAGCUAUUUAGGUAGCGCCUCGUGAAUUCAUCUCCGGGGGUAGAGCACUGUUUCGGCAAGGGGGUCAUCCCGACUUACCAACCCGAUGCAAACUGCGAAUACCGGAGAAUGUUAUCACGGGAGACACACGGCGGGUGCUAACGUCCGUCGUGAAGAGGGAAACAACCCAGACCGCCAGCUAAGGUCCCAAAGUCAUGGUUAAGUGGGAAACGAUGUGGGAAGGCCCAGACAGCCAGGAUGUUGGCUUAGAAGCAGCCAUCAUUUAAAGAAAGCGUAAUAGCUCACUGGUCGAGUCGGCCUGCGCGGAAGAUGUAACGGGGCUAAACCAUGCACCGAAGCUGCGGCAGCGACGCUGAUGCGUUGUUGGGUAGGGGAGCGUUCUGUAAGCCUGCGAAGGUGUGCUGUGAGGCAUGCUGGAGGUAUCAGAAGUGCGAAUGCUGACAUAAGUAACGAUAAAGCGGGUGAAAAGCCCGCUCGCCGGAAGACCAAGGGUUCCUGUCCAACGUUAAUCGGGGCAGGGUGAGUCGACCCCUAAGGCGAGGCCGAAAGGCGUAGUCGAUGG
rnacentral:rRNA from 1 species